rnacentral:misc_RNA from 1 species
CCGAGUUUACAACUCCCAAACCCCUGUGAACAUACCUAUAUGUUGCCUCGGCGGAUCAGCCCGCGCCCCGUAAAACGGGACGGCCCGCCGCAGAAUCCACAAACUCUGUUUUAUGUAACUGAGUAAAACAAUAAUA